CCUACGGGGGGCAGCAGUCGAGAAUCAUUCACAAUGGGGGAAACCCUGAUGGUGCGACGCCGCGUGGGGGAAUGAAGGUCUUCGGAUUGUAAACCCCUGUCAUGUGGGAGCAAAUUAAAAAGAUAGUACCACAAGAGGAAGAGACGGCUAACUCUGUGCCAGCAGCCGCGGUACUACAGAGGUCUCAAGCGUUGUUCGGAAUCACUUGGCGUAAAGCGUGCGUAGGCUGUUUCGUAAGUCGUGUGUGAAAGGCGCGGGCUCAACCCGCGGACGGCACAUGAUACUGCGAGACUAGAGUAAUGGAGGGGGAACCGGAAUUCUCGGUGUAGCAGUGAAAUGCGUAGAUAUCGAGAGGAACACUCGUGGCGAAGGCGGGUUCCUGGACAUUAACUGACGCUGAGGCACGAAGGCCAGGGGAGCGAAAGGGAUUAGAUACCCGAGUAGUC
rnacentral:rRNA from 1 species